rnacentral:sRNA from 1 species
CAGAUGGGUCUCCGGAGACCGGGGUAUU